UGUGGCUUAAUUUGACUCAACGCGGAAAAGCUUAUCUGGUCCGGACACAGUGAGGAUUGACAGACAGUUGGCAGGAGUGGUUCUUGGUAAAAACAAAUGAGAGAGUUGAAGUUCUUUCAUGAUCUUGUGAGAGGUGGUGCAUGGCCGUUCUUAGUUCGUGUAGUGAUAUGUCUGCCUAAUCGCGUCACGAUAACCUAUUGGUCGACAACCCAAUUAUCACAACUGCAGCAUAACUCCCCUUGGGUGGGCGAGGCUCUGUGUAGGAUAGACCUCUGAACAGUACGCAACGAACGCGAUCGUAAUCCCUUGUUGAGUGGCCAUCCUGUAAGCUGCUGGAUUUGAAACCCAGUGGUAUUAUCUCAGCCACAGAUUUUCUGGUUGUAAUGGGCCAGUUUUGAAACUCGGGGAACAUCUGUGACUUUCUUUCUUAACGCAGAGGAAGGUUAUGGCAAUAACA
rnacentral:rRNA from 1 species